rnacentral:rRNA from 1 species
UACGUAGGGUGCAAGCGUUAAUCGGAAUUACUGGGCGUAAAGCGUGCGCAGGCGGCGCUGUAAGACAGAUGUGAAAUCCCCGGGCUUAACCUGGGAACUGCAUUUGUGACUGCAGUGCUGGAGUACGUCAGAGGGGGGUGGAAUUCCACGUGUAGCAGUGAAAUGCGUAGAUAUGUGGAAGAACACCGAUGGCGAAGGCAGCCCCCUGGGACGCAACUGACGCUCAUGCACGAAAGCGUGGGGAGCAAAC